rnacentral:tRNA from 1 species
AGCCUUAUAUUCAUAGGAUGAUUAUAGAAUGCAAUUCUGUAGGAGUAGAUUAUUGCUACUAAGGCUU